UUAUAAGGGCAUUCAAUGGAUAAUUAGAUAUGAAAAGUUUAAAGGACGUUUUUUUGACGAAAUUCAAAGGUAGGUAAAAACCUGUGAACUUUGAGUAUCCUAGAGUAUAAAAGUACACUCUUGUUGAGUUUGAAGAAACUUUGUGAAUUGAACCAUCUUAGUAACAAAAGGAAAAGAAAUCAAACGAGAUUUCGUAAGUAGUGGUGAGCGAAAGCGAAACUAGGCAAAACAUUAAAAUUUAAUCGUAUGAAACUGCCAUAGAAGGUAUAAGCCCUGUAAUACGAAAAAUUUUAAUUUUGAAAGUAAUAUGGAUUGCAAUCCUAUAUAAUUUGGGAAUUCCACUUUCUAAGCCUAAAUACUUUUCAUAAUCGAUAGUGAAUAAGUACCGUGAGGGAAUAUUGUAAAGACGGGUUAAAAACCCAAAUUAUGAACUAGAAAUUGGAUGCUUACAAACAGUUGUGGUAUAGAAUAUAUUACAACGUACCUUUUGUAUAAUGGACCAACAAGUGAAAAAUUAUAGCGAGUCUAAUUUUUAAAAAGAAGGCUGAGAGAAAUCAAUUUUUAUUAGUUAUAAUUUUUCGACCCGAAGCUAAGUGAUCUAAUCAAGAGCAGAUUGAAGUUGCAUGAACGAUAUGUAAUGGAGGAUCGAACCCUUAUAUGUGGCAAAAUAUUGGGAUGACUUUUGAUUAGGAGUGAAAGGCUAAACAAACUUAGCGAUAGCUGGUUUUCUGCGAAAUCUAUUUUAGUAGAGUGUCUUUUAAGUUUUUCUCAGGUAGAGCUCUUAACAGAAAAGGGUGAUUUUCAAUCUUACUAAUUCUGUUUAAACUUCGAAUUGAGUUAAAUUAUUUUAAGGCAAACAAACAUUGGGCGAUAAGGUUCAAUGUUGAGAGGGCAAUAACCCAGACCUCAUGCUAAGGUUCUUAAAUAACAUAUAAAAAUGGAAGGCAGUUAAUAUAGCACGAUAUGAUAAGGUAGGCUUAGAAGCAGCAUCCAUUGUAAAACGCGUUAUAGCGUAUCAUUUUAUAUAUUAAUUCCAAAGAUGAAGGGAAAUAAAUAUGUUUACCGAAGCAUAGGAUUUAUAUAUUUAUAUAUAUAAAUGGUAGCAGAACGUUCUAUUUAGAUCAUUUGUUUAAAUUCGUGAGAAUUUAAACGAUUAGAUUAGGAGUGAGAAUGUUGGUAUGAGUAGCGAAAAUUUUGUUAAGAAUCAUGAUCGUCGAAAAUCCAAGGUUUUCUAUGCAAUUUUAACCACAUAGAGUCAAUCGGUUUUUAAAGUGCUACAUGAAAAUGUAACGUUGAUAAAAUUAAUGUGAAAAAUCUUUAAUUAUUUAUAGGAAAUGUUUAAAGACAUGACAAAAGUUUGGUACUGAUUAUGAAUAAAUAGAUUUUUUCUAUUCAGUAUUAAAUUUUUUAAAAAAUAACUAUAAAUUUAGUAACCGUACCUAAAACUGACACUAGUGGAUUAGUUGAAUAAACUUAGACGAUUGGGGGAAUCAUAUUGAAAGAACUCGGCAAAUUUGCUCCGUAAGUUCGCGAGAAGGAGUGUCACAUUUAUUGUGAUGGCACUAAAGAGGGAGUGGCGACUGUUUAUUAAAAACACAAGACUUUGCAAAUUCGUAAGAAGAAGUAUAAGGUCUGACGUUUGCCAGGUGCUUGUCGGUUAAUUUAUAAGGUUAAAGCUUUAUAAUUAAACCCAAGUAAACGGCGGUCCUAACUAUAAGGAUCCUAAGGUAGCGUAACCCACUGACGUAUAAUUUACGUCCUGCAUGAAUAACGUAACGACUGCUCCACUGUUUCCAGUAUGAUCCCAGCGAAAUUGAAUUCUCCGUGAAGAUGCGGAGUACCUGUAGUUAGACGGAAAGACCCCGUGAUUCUUUACUAUAAUUUUACAUUGAUAUCGCAAAAAAUAUGUAUAGCAUAGGUGGGAGUUUUAUUCAUUCUUGAAUAAAACAUAAGUGGAAUACCACCCUUAUUUUUUGAGGUAUCUAACUUUUUUAUAGAAGAAGGACAUUGUAAAAUUGGUAGUUUAUUUGGGGCGAAUACCUCCUAAAAUGUAACGGAGGUGUACAAAGGUAAAUAAGUAUUCAUCUUUGAAUGAAUACUUAAGUGCAAUGGCUUAAAUUUGCUUGAUAAAAUCACUUAUAAGUGAUUUUAGAACGAAAGUUGGUCAUAGUGAUCCGAUAACACUUUGUGGAAAGGUUAUCGCUUAUCAGAUAAAAGAAACUCCGGGGAUAACAGCGUUAUCGUUCCUGAGAGUCCUUAUCGACGGAACGGUUUGCGACCUCGAUGUCGGCUCAUCAUAUCCUGGGGCUGCAGCAGGUCCCAAGGGUCCGGGUGUUCACCGGUUAAAAUGGUACGUGAGCUGGGUUUAAAACGUCGUGAGACAGUUUGGUCCCUAUCUGCUACAGGCGUCGAAAAUUGAGGAAAUUCAUUUCUAGUACGAGAGGAUUGAAAUGAGUUAAUCAAUGGUGAACCAGUUGUUUUUAAUCAAAGCAUAGCUGGGUAGCUACAUUAAUAUAAUAUAAACACUGAAAGCAUAUAAGUGUGAAAAUUUUUCCAAGAUGAAUUUUCGAGAAUAUUCUGAAAGAUUAUCAGAUAGAUCGGUCUAAGGUUAAUGUUUUGUAAGAAACAGGCCGAUAGAUACGAAGAUUAUCAUAUCUCAUGUUUGAAAACGGAAUGUAUUCCGUUUUCAAACAUGAUUAUAAAUUGAUGAAGAUGAUAAUGUUAAUUU
rnacentral:rRNA from 1 species